rnacentral:lncRNA from 1 species
GUGUGACCUUGAGUAACACACUUAACCUCUCUGACCCCUUUGCUUACCAGUAAAUGGGGGCAUUUCUUACCUUGAGAGGUUAUUGAGAGAGUUCAGUAAGAGAUGGCGUGUGAAAUCAUUGCUGAUUAUUUGUGUUAAUUCUUCGAAGGCAAGCGCUGCUCCAUACCCUGAGCAUAGGGAAAGGGCCAACUUAGCUCCUGCCCCCGCAGAGGUUCCAGUCUGAGUCGCUGGAAUGGGAAGAGAACAGAGGACUCCAGGAGGUUGGGGUUGACCCUGAAGGAAGAGGAAGGACGAAAGGUAAUCUAUAGGCAGCCCCGCACGGGGGCAAGGGGUGACACACAGAGAGAGAAGGGCCCACGGAUUCCCAAGGUGCCCCGGAUCCAGGGUGCUGAGAUGCAAAGAGGAGAGGGUAAGUGGGGUGGAAUGGAAGGAGGGGAAAGAGCUGGGAGCUAAGGUGAGAGCAGGGUGGGGCCAGGGGAGAAUGAAAACCCAGCCUGUUGGUGGUUUCUUCUUUUUUUUUUUUUAAGAGCCACAAGCUGAGAUCAAAGGUGAUAUUUUUACAGCAACUGAAAUAGAAAACCACUGGGCACACACUGGGAGGUGAGCAGCCGGCACACAGGCCCCUUUAUGCAGCCUGUGGCCACAGCAAGCACGCUGCCCUCUGC